AAAAAAGGUAAGCUACUAAGAGCGAAUGGUGGAUGCCUUGACUGGUAAAGGCGAUGAAGGACGUACUAGACUGCGAUAAGCUACGGGGAGUUGUCAAGAAGCUUUGAUCCGUAGAUUUCCGAAUGGGGCAACCCAAUGUAUAGAGAUAUACAUUACCUAUAUAGGAGCGAACGAGGGGAAUUGAAACAUCUUAGUACCCUCAGGAAAAGAAAUCAAUAGAGAUUGCGUCAGUAGCGGCGAGCGAAAGCGCAAGAGGGCAAACCCAGUGCUUGCACUGGGGGUUGUAGGACUGCAAUGUGCAAGAGGUGAGUUUAGCAGAACAUUCUGGAAAGUAUAGCCAUAGAGGGUGAUAGUCCCGUAUGCGAAAAACAAACCUUAGCUAGCAGUAUCCUGAGUAGGGCGGGACACGAGAAAUCCUGUCUGAAGCUGGGUCGACCACGAUCCAACCCUAAAUACUAAUACCAGAUCGAUAGUGCACAAGUACCGUGAGGGAAAGGUGAAAAGAACUGAGGUGAUCAGAGUGAAAUAGAACCUGAAACCAUUUGCUUACAAUCAUUCAGAGCCCUAUGUAGCAAUACAGGGUGAUGGACUGCCUUUUGCAUAAUGAGCCUGCGAGUUGUGGUGUCUGGCAAGGUUAAGCAAACGCGAAGCCGUAGCGAAAGCGAGUCUGAAUAGGGCGCUUAGUCAGAUGCUGCAGACCCGAAACGAAGUGAUCUAUCCAUGAGCAAGUUGAAGCUAGUGUAAGAACUAGUGGAGGACUGAACCCAUAGGCGUUGAAAAGCCCCGGGAUGACUUGUGGAUAGGGGUGAAAGGCCAAUCAAACUUCGUGAUAGCUGGUUCUCUCCGAAAUAUAUUUAGGUAUAGCGUUGUGUCGUAAUAUAAGGGGGUAGAGCACUGAAUGGGCUAGGGCAUACACCAAUGUACCAAACCCUAUCAAACUCCGAAUACCUUAUAUGUAAUCACAGCAGUCAGGCGGCGAGUGAUAAAAUCCGUCGUCAAGAGGGAAACAACCCAGACUACCAGCUAAGGUCCCUAAAUCUUACUUAAGUGGAAAACGAUGUGAAGUUACUUAAACAACCAGGAGGUUGGCUUAGAAGCAGCCAUCCUUUAAAGAAAGCGUAAUAGCUCACUGGUCUAGUGAUUUUGCGCGGAAAAUAUAACGGGGCUAAAGUAAGUACCGAAGCUGUAGACUUGCGCACAACUUAGAUUAUUUAAGUUUAGAAUAUGAGAAACUAAGUUAUAUGUUUAGUUAUAUUUUUACUGAUUUUUAUAGAGUAAAGAUAGAAAUAAAACUUAGUAAAAUCAGUAAAAAUAUUCUUAGACUAAAGUUAAGUAGUUUAAGUUGUGUGCAAGUGGUAGGAGAGCGUUCUAUUUGCGUCGAAGGUAUACCGGUAAGGAGUGCUGGAGCGAAUAGAAGUGAGCAUGCAGGCAUGAGUAGCGAUAAUUAAUGUGAGAAUCAUUAACGCCGUAAACCCAAGGUUUCCUACGCGAUGCUCGUCAUCGUAGGGUUAGUCGGGUCCUAAGUCGAGUCCGAAAGGGGUAGACGAUGGCAAAUUGGUUAAUAUUCCAAUACCAACAUUAGUGUGCGAUGGAAGGACGCUUAGGGCUAAGGGGGCUAGCGGAUGGAAGUGCUAGUCUAAGGUCGUAGGAGGUUAUACAGGCAAAUCCGUAUAACAAUACUCCGAGAACUGAAAGGCUUUUUGAAGUCUUCGGAUG
rnacentral:rRNA from 1 species